UUUGUUAAGGGUGCUGAGAGUUGUUAGGAGAGCUCCAUUUCCCUCACAGAGCUACAAUUCCCAGAGUUCCCUGGGAACUAAAAGCCACUCCUGGCAACUCUCAGCAUCCUUAACAAACUGCAGAUUCCAGGAUACUUUGUGGGAUGAAUCCUGAUACUGCAUUAAAUGUACAGUACAGAUUGGGGGGGGGGGCAGGGCUAUGAUUCUACUUAAAAGGCUCACUGCUUAUGAACAUCAUGUGAACAAGGGGGUGAAGACAUCAUCCCUCGGCCAAAAAUCAAGAUGAAAUACAAAUCAGUAAAUACUUCAAGACAAAUGGUGAGUUAACUGUAAUUGACGACACCGAUAAUCUCUUUUUUAUAUUCAUUUAAAAACUCCUUGGAGAUCUAGGCAGAGGUUAAAACAAUGAAGCCAUUUUGAAAUCCCUCACAGUAUGUUUAGGUGCAAAUACCACCGGACAAAGGAAAGCGUCUUGCAAUAUGAUAUUGUGGUGGUAAAAAGCAGCAUAUGCUAUGAGCAUAUGCUACUUUUAACUGCUGAUUAAUGCAGGGAAUUCACUGCAAUAAGAUGACCACAUAAAAAAAGAAUGAAUACUGUAUAUUCAUGGAAGAGGAUUCUGUCAGUUUCUAUUUUCCUUCAUUUGUUCAGGCAGGGCAAUUUUGUAAAAGUGGAACCACAAAUUACCUCAGCAAAUGGCAUGUUUCAAAACCUGAGUUCACAGGCUUCCCAAAUGCAAAGCCAGAGGAGGAAGAGGACAUUUUUAAGCCUGAGGUGGAAUAGAAAAUGGCAUUCCUUUCUUCAACUCAAG